AUUGAACGCUCGCGGGAUGCUUUACACAUGCAAGUCGAACGGCAGCGCGGACUUCGGUCUGGCGGCGAGUGGCGAACGGGUGAGUAAUGUAUCGGAACGUGCCCAGUAGCGGGGGAUAACUACGCGAAAGCGUAGCUAAUACCGCAUACGCCCUACGGGGGAAAGCAGGGGAUCGUAAGACCUUGCACUAUUGGAGCGGCCGAUAUCGGAUUAGCUAGUUGGUGAGGUAACGGCUCACCAAGGCGACGAUCCGUAGCUGGUUUGAGAGGACGACCAGCCACACUGGGACUGAGACACGGCCCAGACUCCUACGGGAGGCAGCAGUGGGGAAUUUUGGACAAUGGGGGCAACCCUGAUCCAGCCAUCCCGCGUGUGCGAUGAAGGCCUUCGGGUUGUAAAGCACUUUUGGCAGGAAAGAAACGUCGCGGGCUAAUACCCCGUGGAACUGACGGUACCUGCAGAAUAAGCACCGGCUAACCACGUG
rnacentral:rRNA from 1 species